GUCAGAUUGCUAUAGUGGUUUUAGCCUUGGACUAUGAAUCUGGAAGCCAGGGUUUGAAUCCCUGCUCUUCCA